rnacentral:lncRNA from 1 species
CGCGGGGGCAUCUCUGUGUCUGAUCAGGAAAUGUCUCUGUCAGAUGCUCCCACAAACCGCGGGCCUGGAGACACAGCCCUAACAAUACAAAAAAGUGCUACAAGUUUUCAAAAGUAAUUAUGAUGACGUGCCGCCAGGGAAGAUUCUCUGCUCUGAAGGAGUCGGGUGCCUGGACCGGGGCCUGGUCACCCACUUCUCAUCUCACCCACAUCUUCAGUGCCCGCUGUGCAUGGGCGAUGCCAGGCCCCACAUGGGUUCCUGGAGCUAGGACCUCGCUGUCAUUGUCUGGGAGUUUGUUUCUGCCGCC